UAUCUUAGCGGCGGACGGGUGAGUAAUGCUUAGGAAUCUGCCAUUUAGUGGGGGACAACAUUCCGAAAGGAAUGCUAAUACCGCAUACGUCCUACGGGAGAAAGCAGGGGAUCUUCGGACCUUGCGCUAAAUGAUGAGCCUAAGUCGGAUUAGCUAGUUGGUGGGGUAAAGGCCUACCAAGGCGACGAUCUGUAGCGGGUCUGAGAGGAUGAUCCGCCACACUGGGACUGAGACACGGCCCAGACUCCUACGGGAGGCAGCAGUGGGGAAUAUUGGACAAUGGGCGGAAGCCUGAUCCAGCCAUGCCGCGUGUGUGAAGAAGGCCUUUUGGUUGUAAAGCACUUUAAGCGAGGAGGAGGCUACUAGUACUAAUACUACUGGAUAGUGGACGUUACUCGCAGAAUAAGCACCGGCUAACUCUGUGCCAGCAGCCGCGGUAAUACAGAGGGUGCGAGCGUUAAUCGGAUUUACUGGGCGUAAAGCGUGCGUAGGCGGCUUUUUAAGUCGGAUGUGAAAUCCCCGAGCUUAACUUGGGAAUUGCAUUCGAUACUGGGAAGCUAGAGUAUGGGAGAGGAUGGUAGAAUUCCAGGUGUAGCGGUGAGAUGCGUAGAGAUCUGGAGGAAUACCGAUGGCGAAGGCAGCCAUCUGGCCUAAUACUGACGCUGAGGUACGAAAGCAUGGGGAGCAAACAGGAUUAGAUACCCUGGUAGUCCAUGCCGUAAACGAUGUCUACUAGCCGUUGGGGCCUUUGAGGCUUUAGUGGCGCAGCUAACGCGAUAAGUAGACCGCCUGGGGAGUACGGUCGCAAGACUAAAACUCAAAUGAAUUGACGGGGGCC
rnacentral:rRNA from 1 species